rnacentral:lncRNA from 10 species
UGGAAAAGUCCCCCCUUUCCCAAUUGAGUAUUCCUGGAUAUCCCCAGCAGGAAUUCACAGGGAGCUCAUGAAUCAGUAUGGCAGCUACAGGUCCCACACAUCCAUUAUCAAAAUUUCCUUCUCUUCCUGAAUAGGCUUCCCCUCGUCAGUGUUAUCUGCUCAGAAGUACAGUGAAAGCCUCUUCCCAGUGCUGCUGCUGAUGACACCAAAGACCUCAAGGACUCAAGGACAUCAAUUCACGGAAAUACUGCCCAUCCUACCACAAACCCUCAACCUCCAGUUAAGUAAUGAAAGAAGUGCUUCUUGGGGGAUUAAAUUUUGGUGAGGAGCAUGGGCCAGCAUUCCUCUUGGAAAAGAAGACAGAGGCAAACAAAUGGAAUCUGAGCUUUGGUCUUCCAUUAUUCAAGUUUUCCUAAAAAGUGAUAGCAUGGAAACCCUCAAGUCUGCUCAGAGCCUGUGCCAAUUUGAUGGGAGAAUCUGCAGAUUUUCAGGCAGCAAGUUGGUCCGUGAUGGCCUUCAACCCAGGAGUGAGAAAUUUUCUGCUUACAGAUUUGACUCAAAAAGGCUCCAAAUUAACCCGCCCUGGAAGUGCAUCACUAAGGGGGAAAUUUCAAUGUUUAAAAAUGGUUUAUAAUAGGAUCACAUUGAAUUUUCUUCUUUUUUUCUUUCUCUGAAUAUAAAUGCAAUUAGUGUGUCACUGAUUCUACAUCAGGCAAGAGAAUUAUGUGGUGAGGGCACACACACACAUACACACACACACACGCGUGCACACACACACACACACACCAUUGAGCACCGGCCAGCUCAGCUCUGCUCUGAGAGAGUUUCCUGGGCAUAUUUCUGCAUGAAGCAAAAUCAAUGUGGGUGAAACUGAAGACCAUCUAUGGGAACCUUUGGAGAGGUAGAUGAAAGAGGAGAUGAAAGGCAAAGGUGAAGACUUGGGAAACAGUCCAAAGAAGCUCUUUCAAUGAUUCAAAUCAUUAUUUGAAAUUGAUGUAGCCAUCAGUGAGGCACCAAGGUAAGCCUGUAGCCCUGUGCAAAGGAGCCUAGAGAUGACAUGGGGUGGAUACAGUUGAGAACAAACCUUUGGCAUCUCCCGGUGUCCUUUGGGUCUUUGUUGUCUUCAGCUCCAGCUCACUAGGCAACCCUUCUUCUGUGUGGUUUUUCUUCCAUUUCCCACUUUUCUCCUUCAUUAGCUACCACCCAGCUCCCUAUGGGUUGAAUAAUAAUUUAGCACAAGUUCAAUAUUUUCAAAAUGUUUUGCAAUAAAAUCUUAUUGCCUCUGUUCCCAGUGGCUAGUGGGCUAGAGGCCUGGUAUGACUGUCCCAAAUUUAAAAGCAGGAAAAAUAGGGAUGAUGGAUCAAGUGAUUUGCCAGAGAAGAAACAAAUGAGAUUAGUGCCUGUUACUUUUUAUCCCAGCAGAUGAAAUAAACACAAGAGCUUGAUUGUAGUAAUUAUUUGAGGAAGAAUGGAAAAACAUCAUUCUUUGUGAUUCUCAUGUAAUGAAUGUGGUAACAGAGAAGAUGGCUAUGCCAGUUUUUAAUUUGAUGGAGAUUUUGGACAUAUUUCUAGUUUCUUUAGUACAUCCCAAGUUUUCUCAUGCAUAAUAUGCAGCUAAUACAAUAGUUAAUAUCUACUAUAGGGUCAUUGUAAGGAUUAAAUGAUCUAAAACAUGUUGAGCACUUAGAGUAGUAUGUGGCAUCUAAUAAGUGGUCAAUAAAUUAAUUAUUGUUAUUACAACAACAACAAUUUGUUUUAAAUUGAAAACUUCAAUAUUCAAAUAUUCCAAAAAUGUAUACCCUACAAUGCCUAGAUGAAAAGGAAUCAAGCCUAGCAUGGUGGUUGAUGCCUGUAAUCCCAGCACUUUGGGAGGCCGAGGCAGGCAGAUUACUUGAGGUCAGGAGUUUGAGACCAGUCUGGCCAACAUGACGAAACCCCAUCUCUACUAAAAAUACAAAAAUUAGCCAGACGUGGUGGUGCACAACUGUAGUACCAGCUACCAGGGAGGCUGAGGCGGGAGAAUCGCUUCAACUUGGGAGGCAGAGGUUGCAGUGAGCUGAGAUCAUGCCACUGCACUCCAGCCUGGGUGACAGAGCAAAACUCUGUCUCAAAAAAAAAAAAAAAGAAAGAAAGAAAGAAAAAAAGAAAAGAAAAAGAAAAAAUCAUACCGGUUUUCCUGAAAACUUUUUUGGAAUGACAAAUUAAGGGGUGGGGAAUUGAGUAAAUGAGUGGUCCACCACUCUUCCAGGACAUUUUGGAAAUUAAACCCUUCAUUUCAGGUUAUUUGUGUCAGGGCUGGCUGUGCCUGUGGGCAAAUGAAAUACAAAAGUUGCAGGUGCCAUUCCUGCUCCUACCUACCUGAACCCCAUUAUAGCAGAAGUUAUUUCCCUGUUACUAGGAAGCCAAGAGUAUACUGUCAUCAGGCCCUGAUGUGACACUAAAUUUAUCUGUGACUUCUAAGGCAGUCAAUCCUGCCUGUCACACCUGUGUCAUUUCUCAAAUAUAAGCCUCACAUGUCAUCUCUCCUCUUGCAUACUCUUAGCCAAUAAUUUUUUUGUUCUGCUUUCCACCUCUCUUGUUCUUCCUGUCAUUCCUAAUCCUUUUUACAGUGUUCCCUGGAAUUUCCAUUCCCCUUUCCAUAGCAAGCAACCCUGUCCACUCCCACUCUUCCACCAUCUAGUGUUAGUUCAAAUCUGGAUCUCCCAUGAAGCUCUACUUCCUGAAGCUCUCUUAGGCAGAUGGUGUUUAUUCUACUGAGUUUUGUGGUGAUGGUCAUCAUCAUCUACCUGUUCUCUACCUAAACUUUUUUUCCUCCACAUUUACAUGAAGACCUCUUGGAGAACUUCUACUUUCAGGAAAAUGAUGUAGCUGUACUUUUACCCAUUCCUCCUGCUAAGUACAAAUAAAAACUAUAGAGAUUAUAUAUGAAACAAACAUGAGAAGAUUCUGAAAGGUAGAAAGAAGAAAGCAAGCCAGCUGGGGACCUCAGGUCCUGAUGAACAACAAGGCAAUGAAUUCCCUGGGUUUUCUUUUUGCCUCAUACAUCCCGGACUUGGACUGGCAAUCUGGGAACAGCAAGAGGAGCAGACAGAAAGAAGCCCCAACAAAAGCCUGUUCUCUCUAGCCAAAGUACCAGGAAAGUGCCUAAGACAGAACAUUUAGAAAAUAUAUACCACUCCACUCCAACCAAGCACCACAGAAAGAACCGUGGCCUCACCCCAAGGGACAUCAGCAAACCCUGAGUGAAUAUUCUUGACUUCCACCAUUGCAUGGCUGUAAUGAGGCCCUCCUCUCAUCAGAGUGAUGUCAGAAGAAGCUGAGUAUGGAGUCAUGGCUUUCAUCCCUACUGGAUGAUAACAAACACACUCCCCUUGUGGGAAGCCCGUUCUCCUAUCUUUAUCUGGCAGUAACAAGGCACCCUUCCCUACUGGGAUGAUGUCAGGGGAGGCUCAGUGGAGAGUCAGGACUUUUGCCACCAGUCAGCAAUAAUGAGGCAACCACCCCAGAGCUGUCAUUGUCCAGAGCGUCAAUGGAGGCUACAUAGGGAGUUUAAUGACAUCUCAGAUGACAACAGAGCUUGCCUGAGGGACUUGAACUUCUGUGCUCACUUGGCAGGGACAAGGUGGCACUUCUACUUCCCUUGCCAGAGCAGCGUCAGCAGAAACCAGCUAAAGCAAAAGGUUUAAAUAAGAUCCAGAGUAUCAUAAUAUAAGUGUCCAGGUUUCAAUAAAACAAUCAUGUGUCAUGCAAAGAACCAGAAAAUUCUCAAUUUGAAUGAAAAAGACAAUCAAUGGAUGCCAACACUGAGAUGGCAGAGAUGUUAGGAUUCUAUUAUACACAUUUAAAAGCAGUCAUAAUAAAGAUCCUUUAAUGAGCAAUUGCAAGCAUGAUUGAAACCAAUAAAAAAGUUGAAAAUCUCAGCAAAGAAAGAGAAGAAAUAAAGAAGAACCAAAGGGAAAUUAUAGAGCUGAAAAUACAAGAAUCAAAAUAAUAAACUCAAUGGAUGGGCUCAAUAGCAGAAUGGAGAGGCUAGUGAACAGAAUCAGUGAAUUUGAAGAAAGAACUAUAAAAAUUACCUAAUCUGAACAAAAGAGAAAAAGAGACUGAAAAAAAUAAACAGAGUUGUAAUGAAAGAUCUAACAUCUGGGCACGGAAGUCCUGGAAGGAGAGGAGAAAGAGGAUGGCACUAAAAAAGUGCUCAAAGAAAUAAUGGUUGAAAACUUCCCAAAUUUGGUAAAAUAAGUUAAUAUACAGUUUCCAGAAAGUAAGCAAACCCCCAAACAAGAUAAACCCAAAGAAAUCCACACCAAGUCACAUAAUAGUCACACUUCUGAAAAUUAAAGCCAAAGAUGAAUCUUGCAGUAAAAGAGAAACAACACAUUACCUAUUAAGGAAAAACAAUUCACAUGACAGCAGAUUUCUCAUCAGAAACCACUGAGGCCAGAAGAAAAUGGCACAACAUUUUUCAGGUGCUCAAAGAAAAGAACUGUCAGUUUAGAAUUCUACAUCCAGUGAACAUAUCCAUGACGAAUGAAGAAGAAAUCAAGACAAUCUCAGGUGAAGAAAAGUAAGAGAAUCUAUUGCCAGCAGGCCCUACCCUAAAAGAAUGGGUAAAGGAAGCUCUCUAAACAGAAAGGAAACGAUAAAAGAAGGAAUCUUAGAACACUAGGAAGAAAGAACAACAGGAUGAAUAAAAAUAUGGGUAAAUACAUUUUCCUUCUCUUCAGUCUUCUAAAGUAUGUUUGAUGUUUGAAGCAAAAGUUGUAACACUGUCUGAUGUGUUUCUAAAUGUAUGCAGAAAAAAAUAUUUAAGAUAAUUAUAUUACAAAACAACAAAGGGCGAAGACACAUAAAGAGAGGUAAGGUUUCUAUACUUCUAACCCAAACUGGUAAAAUGUAUAGUAAACUGUGAUAAAUUAUGUGUAUGUACUGCAAUACCUAGAGCAACCACUAAAAAAGCUAUGCAAGGAGAUACCUUCAAAAAUACUAUAGGUAAAUCAAAAUUGAAUUUUUUAAAAUGUUCAAGUAAAAGAAUGUUCAUCUACAGGAAGACAGGAAAAAUGAGAACAGAGAAAUGAUAAACAGGAACAGUGUAAAACAAAAUUAUAAAUGGAAGACAUAGCUUUAACACAUCAAUAACUACAUUAAAUGUAACUGGUCUAAAUGUAUGAAUUAACACAAAGAAAUUGGCUUAGUGCAUUAAAAACUCAACACAACUAUAUGGUGUCUACAAAAAACUAACUUCAAAUAUAAUGAUAUAGGUAGGUUGAAAGUAAAAGGAUGGAAAAAGAUGUAUCAUGUGAACAUUAGUCAAAAAAAAAGCAGGAGUGGCUAUAUUAAUACUAGAUAAAGUAGAUUUCAGUGCAAAGAAAAUUGCCAAAGACAGAGGGGGACAUUACGUAAUGAUAAAAAGGUCAACCCUCCAUAGCAAUCUUAAAUGUCUGUACAUCAAAUGACAAAGCUGCAAACUAUGUGAAGCAAAACAACAACACCAAAAAAAAAUCCAAUAUAACUAAAAGGAGAAAUAGACAAAUCCAUAAUCAUAUCUAGAAACUAUGGUACCCCUCUCUCAAUAGUUGAUAUAAUGUAUAGACAGGAAAUUGAGCAAAGAUAUACAAGAACCCAACACAACCAACAAUCAAUAGGGUUUAAUAGACUUUUAUAGAAUACGUCACCCAACAACAGACAAAUACAUAUUAUUUUCAAGUGUCCAGGGAUCAUAUACCAAGACAGACGAUGCCCUGACCAUAAAACAAAACUUAACUCAUUUUAAAGAAUUGAAAUAAUACACUGUAUGUUCUCUAAGCCCAAAGGCCUCAAACUAGAAAUCAAUAACUGAAAAAAAACAGGCAAGUAUCCAAACAAUUGCAAUUGAAAGUAACACACUUCUAAAUCAUUCAUGUGUCAAAGAGAAAAUCUCAAGAAAAAUUUUAAAAAUCAAAUUGAUCAAGAUUGAAAAUGUACAAAUCAAAACAUAUGAGACUCAGCUAAAGCAGAGAGGGAAAUUUAUGACAUUAAUUGUUUACAUUAGAAGAGAAAAAGUUCCAUAUCAAUAAUAUAAGCAGAUCAAGAGCCUAGGAAAAGGAGAGGAAAAUAAGCCUAAAGCAAGCAGAAAGAAGGAAAUAAUCAGAGC